rnacentral:rRNA from 1 species
UAAUACAGAGGGUGCAAGCGUUAAUCGGAGUUACUGGGCGUAAAGGGCGCGUAGGCGGUUGAAUAAGUUGGAUGUGAAAUCCCUGGGCUUAACCUAGGAACUGCAUUCAAAACUAUUUGACUAGAGUACUGUAGAGGGUAGUGGAAUUUCCGGUGUAGCGGUGAAAUGCGUAGAGAUCGGAAGGAACACCAGUGGCGAAGGCGGCUACCUGGACAGAUACUGACGCUGAGGCGCGAGAGCGUGGGGAGCAAACAGGAUUAGAUACCCUGGUAGUCCACGCUGUAAACGAUGAAGACUAGAUGUUGGCAGGCCUAGACCUGUUAGUAUCGAAGCUAACGCGAUAAGUCUUCCGCCUGGGGAGUACGGUCGCAAGAUUA